rnacentral:ncRNA from 1 species
AUAAAAGUUAUGACGAUGCAAAGUAGAUACUAUGAUCUUUUUAAGAGAGGAAAUGCCAGAGGCUGAGAACAUUUCUAAAGACAAUGUAGUAACCGAAAUUUCACAUCUGAACUGUUUCCUUUGAAGAAAUGUAGAAGAAAACCGCUUAUAAGCGUUAAAAAAGAGAGAGUUGCUUGCUAUUAGUCACUUAUUGCUAGUGAAAACUGUAUUUCACUAGACACUAGUCACUAGUCACAAGCCACUAAUAUAGGUGGUACCACGGGUAAAAAACUCGUCCUUGUU